GACGAACGCUGGCGGCGUGCUUAACACAUGCAAGUCGAACGGAAAGGCCCUGCUUUUGUGGGGUGCUCGGGUGGCGAACGGGUGAGUAACACGUCAGUAACCUGCCCUUGACUUUGGGAUAACUUCAGGAAACUGGGGCUAAUACCGGAUAGGAGCUCCUGCUGCAUGGUGGGGGUUGGAAAGUUUCGGCGGUUGGGGAUGGACUCGCGGCUUAUCAGCUUGUUGGUGGGGUAGUGGCUUACCAAGGCUUUGACGGGUAGCCGGCCUGAGAGGGUGACCGGCCACAUUGGGACUGAGAUACGGCCCAGACUCCUACGGGAGGCAGCAGUGGGGAAUAUUGCACAAUGGGCGGAAGCCUGAUGCAGCAACGCCGCGUGCGGGAUGACGGCCUUCGGGUUGUAAACCGCUUUCGCCUGUGACGAAGCGUGAGUGACGGUAAUGGGUAAAGAAGCACCGGCUAACUACGUG
rnacentral:rRNA from 1 species